GGUAAGACAUUUUGAUACUGUCGUUUUGAGUUUUAUGCUCUUUGUAUCAUUUUCUUGAGCCGAGGGUCUAUAGGAAGCAGCCUCUCUACCUUCCCAAGGAAGGGGUAAGGUCUGCGUACAGCCAUACACACUACUCUCCCCAGACCCCACUUGUGGAAUUUCACUAGGUUGUUGUUGUCGUAUGCUCUUUGUGACCAGGAGGUCACUAGUUCGAGCUGUGGAUAUAGCCUCUUGCAGAAUUGCAGGGUAAGGCUGCGUACAAUAGACCCUUGUGGUCCAGCCUUCCCCGUAUUCCACGCAUAGCGGGAGCUUAGUGCAUCGGGCUGCGCUUUAUUGUUGUCGUAUGCGCUUUGUAUCAUUUUGAGUUUGUUGUCGAUAUUUGUUCUUAUUUAAUCAGUUCUUCGGGAUGUUGCAGUGGUCAAGGAUUGAAUCUUCCAGAUAGCCCGUUUGCAUCUCCAAUAAGGAAUGGCAUUUCAACUGUCAUUUAGGUUCAGAAACACAGAAGGAUUAUAGAGUUUAAAGAGGACUGAGUUUUGGAAAGCAGUUCGUUGGUUCGACACAUAAAAGUACUUUUCUUCCUAAAUAUUUCCAUAAAACAGUUACUAUUAAAUAGUUGCUCAACUGCCUGCAAAUACACCUGAUCCUACAGAAAGCGCGAGAAGUUAUUCGUUUUCAUUUUUUAGGUGAACAUCAUAAGAGAAUUACAUAGAAAAAGAAUCGCGACAUGUAACAAGUUUCAUAGGUUUUCAGCUUUGAUAAGAAGUUAAUGAUAGGGAGCAAGUUUGAUGCUUGCUUUGCAGGUUUUAGAAGUUAAAAUGUAAUUAUGGUUUUUUUUCUAAGUGUGAUGGAGAAGAAAAUAGGCUCAGAUUCAGAGUUUGGUGUCCAUUGUAGAGCUCUCUGCUACUUGACAGAAAUGCUAAAUGUUGCUAACAAUAAAGUUAUACAUAGUUUUCAUUUCUAGUCUCUGUUUACUUUCUGAACACAAAUUUGUCAUUUAUAUUUUGGCGUAACCGGUAAAGUUGACUCCAUGUGACCAGAAGGUCAUGAGUUUGAGCCGUGGAAAUAACCUCUUGUAGAAAUGUAGGGUAAGACUGCGUACAAUAGACCCCUGUAGUCAAGCCCUUCCCCAGACCCCGCACAUAGCGGGAGCUUAGUACAUCGGUGAUAUCCGAAUCAGCUUGCAUGCAUAGGUGGUAUUCGAAUCAGCUUGCGUGCACCUCGGGUAAUCCUCUUUGUUUGCUAAAAAUGUAAAUAUAAAGUAGUUGAAUAUGGAUCAUAUAUGUGGUCCUCUACUGCUUGUUCUCUUAGUUGUACAAAAGGGUCCCCAAUAGUAAAGAAAAUGUAUAUUAGACCCUUGAUAUGCGGAACUGAUGCAAGUUGUAUUUUUUUAAAAUUAUAUUUAAUGCCAAAACUAAGUAAAUUGACCAUCUUAGAAAGUUAUUAUUUUGUCGCUUUCAUCCACGUUGAUCUACUUUAUUAUUUAUUGCUUUCACCAUUAUACAACUGAAAAAUAUUGUUUUUUUUUUUUUUGCAAUUUGUGAGAUUGACUUUGAUAAAGUAGUGGUGCUGAAGUGCGACAAUUAUUUAGAUUUGUGGACAUUAUGUGAAUUUUAAUUUUAGAUUUGUAGGACCGACGUAUCUACUAUCUGUUUUUUAAUCUUUUAUACGACACAGAUGUUACAUGUCUAUGGCCAUAAAUGUUUUUGUUCAUACAUUUCUUAGCCACAAACACACUUCAUACUUCAAAAGUAGUUUGAUUCUCUUCGCAUCCACUAGUUUUAUUGAUUUAUAUUUUUUUAAAAUCAAAACUAAGCUCCAUUUGGUAGUUUGUGAGAUAUUUCUUCACUAAAAUAGAAUAGUUUGGAAAUUCAUAGAAUUAUCUAUAAAAUAAUGUAGCAGGAAAUUAAUUUAGGACAAAAGAUAAUAAACAACUUUUGCCAAUUUGGGAUUAAAAAUUAGGAUCUUUUCAUACAUAUGCUAAAUUAUAAAGUUAUUUACCUGAAAUGUGUAAAGUUUGCUAUUUAUCAAAGUAGACUGACUAUAUAUAUAAAUAUAUUUUUUUCACUCUGUUCAUCUGUUCUUUCCAACCUUUUAAAGAUAUAAAUUUUUUCUUAACACAACUUUUUUUUAAACCUCACCAUGGCCGUAGUUAAAUAUAUUUGCCCACUUUAACACCUUUCUGAUAAUAUUUUGGGCUUAUUUUAACUGGUCUCUCCUAGAAAUUUAUAGGUUAAUCCAUCAGAGUUAUUAAGAAGUUGGAAAGAUAACCAUAUACUUAGAGUGAUUUUUUUAGUUAUUUACAAACUAGCAACUAAGAAAUUAAAGAUAUAAGACAUAAUAUAAAAGCUUUAAAUAAAUCGGGGUAAUAAACAGAAAUAUAAUUUAUAAAAACAGUAACUUACAUGUUUACAGGAGAGGGAUUUCCCUUUCGGUAAACUCGAAAGAGUUUACUGGACUUAAAAACUUGCACACUAAAGCAUAAAUCUUUAUUUAUUUUACAUGUUUGAGAUAGAAAAUACUAAAGCAUAUAUAGUGAAAUAUUUUAAAAAGAGAGGUGUGGAGGAUGGUUUUUCUGGUGUAGGUGAAGGGAAUGGUGAAGAGAGUAUGUUUUUCUUCAGAUGGUUGUUGUAGUUGUGUUUUCUGUCUUCAUAGAACACUCAAUUUAUAGGUGUUGAGGACUUCACUUCCGGACUUCAUUUUGUUUGAAGAAUCUUUCCUUUUUCUUGUUCACGUGAAAUUUUCAGAGUCUGUCUUGCAUUAUUGUCC
rnacentral:lncRNA from 1 species